GGUUUGAGCAGAAGCGGCAAGAACGAGAACCCUGGCCCAAUUUCCUCGGAGGGCUCCAGUAGAGCUCCUGAGAUCGGUAGAGCA